AAGUAUGAAGCAACUUUUGCACUUAGUUUCGACCUAAUCUUAGAUAUGAAAAUAUCCUUACUUU
rnacentral:tRNA from 1 species